UACGUAGGUGGCAAGCGUUGUUCGGAAUUAUUGGGCGUAAAGAGCUCGUAGGCGGUCUGUCGCGUCGAUCGUGAAAACUUGGGGCUUAACCCUGAGCUUGCGGUCGAUACGGGCAUGACUGGAGUUCGGCAGGGGAGACUGGAAUUCCUGGUGUAGCGGUGAAAUGCGCAGAUAUCAGGAGGAACACCGGUGGCGAAGGCGGGUCUCUGGGCCGAUACUGACGCUGAGGAGCGAAAGCGUGGGGAGCGAACAGG
rnacentral:rRNA from 1 species